CGGGUACUGGCUAGAGGCGGAGAGGGUAGUAAGUAGGGCUGCACGCACCAGUAGAUAACAGUAGCCAGAAAAUACUGGGCCGGUACCAAAGGAUACAACCGCCAGGUUGGAUUCGAAUAAAAGAUUGCCUUGUCAUCGGCAUCGCACCAACUACUGUGAAUGGUUCAGACUUCACUGGAGCUGCUGCUCAAUAUGGACAUCCUGGGUGGUGGUGUUUACUUAUCCCUGUCCUGGUCGUUGUUUGCAUUGGCAUCAUUACUUACAGGUGUAUCAAGAAGCGCAAAAUAAAAAACUAUGUCAUAUAAGGCACUCAGGACUACCCAUCCCUUAACCAAGCUAUUUGGACCCAACCCCCAGAGAAAGUGACAGGGACAGCACUCAGGACUACCCAAACCCCCAGAUCAGGAUGCUGCUGCGUUAUCUCUGCCUUAAUUCCAUCACUUUAACUCUUCUUCUUAAAGUUGUAAUCUUUUAAUACGUUUUCAUAUUCAUAUUCUUGUAAAUCAGUACCGUUAAACCAGUGCCUUGGAUAAUUUUUGGUCCUCUAAUACUGACACCAGCCGGCUAAAGCCUACUCUUAUUCUUAGGAAUAAGUAUGGAAAUACAAAUGUUUUACCCAUGACGCAUCUACCAGGGUAUUUUGAAUGGGGCAAAAAAGGAAAAUAUGUCCAGUUAUUAAUCAAGCAGAGAUAAGCUUAUUCAAAAGUUGAUGCACUUUAACCCACCAAUGAAUUAUAAUUUACACAUGUUCUAUAACACCCAUUCCACCUUUGAAACUUCAUAUGAGUCUGGUCUGCACAUGGCUGAGGGAGGAAUGUAGUGAUUUAUAAUACAAGUUAUUACCAUCAAGAUGAUGGUACAGGACCCCACUACUGAAAAUCAACCUGGGUUCAUAAAUGAUUUGUGCCAUCCAUCUCCCUAAUGAAAAGGAUUUAUCCUAGCCUUCACCACCACUGUACUGUAUGUAAAAGCAUUAUGUUGUACUGUGCUAUUUGUCUAUGUCAGUACUGUAUUUCUAAUGCUAGUGUUUGUGAAAUGCAGUAAGUCUAUUUACAAGUAUAUUUAUGCUGUAAAGCAGGGUUUCCCAAAGUCAUUUAAAUUGGUUAUUUGAAUCAGCUGUGUAGUGCUAGGGCAAAAAAGAUAUAUGGACCCAGGGUGGGCCCCACAACUGAGUUUGGGAAACCCUGCUGUACAUUAUGAGGC
rnacentral:lncRNA from 1 species